rnacentral:rRNA from 1 species
GGGUGACAGGUGGUGCAUGGUUGUCGUCAGCUCGUGUCGUGAGAUGUUGGGUUAAGUCCCGCAACGAGCGCAACCCUCGACCUUAGUUGCCAGCAUUCAGUUGGGCACUCUAAGGUGACUGCCGGCUAAAAGUCGGAGGAAGGUGGGGAUGACGUCAAAUCAUCAUGCCCCUUAUGACCUGGGCUACACACGUGCUACAAUGGGCGGUACAAAGGGUCGCGAACCCGCGAGGGGGAGCCAAUCCCAAAAAGCCGCUCUCAGUUCGGAUUGCAGGCUGCGACUCGCCUGCAUGAAGCCGGAAUCGCUAGUAAUCGCGGAUCAGCAUGCCGCGGUGAAUACGUUCCCGGGCCUU